rnacentral:rRNA from 1 species
CCUACGGGAGGCAGCAGUGAGGAAUAUUGGUCAAUGGGCGAGAGCCUGAACCAGCCAAGUCGCGUGAGGGAGUACUGCCCUAUGGGUUGUAAACCUCUUUUGUCGGGGAGCAAAAGCCGGACGUGUCCGGCUGUGAGAGUACCCGAAGAAAAAGCAUCGGCUAACUCCGUGCCAGCAGCCGCGGUAAUACGGAGGAUGCGAGCGUUAUCCGGAUUUAUUGGGUUUAAAGGGUGCGCAGGCGGAUUUUUAAGUCAGCGGUAAAAUCGUGGGGCUCAACCCCAUCCAGCCGUUGAAACUGGGGAUCUAGAGUGUGCGGGAGGUAUGCGGAAUGCGUGGUGUAGCGGUGAAAUGCAUAGAUAUCACGCAGAACCCCGAUUGCGAAGGCAGCAUACCGGUGCACAACUGACGCUCAGGCACGAAAGCGUGGGUAUCGAACAGGAUUAGAUACCCUAGUAGUC